UACGUAGGGUGCAAGCGUUAAUCGGAAUUACUGGGCGUAAAGCGUGCGCAGGCGGCUGUGCAAGACAGAUGUGAAAUCCCCGGGCUCAACCUGGGAACUGCAUUUGUGACUGCACAGCUAGAGUACGGCAGAGGGGGAUGGAAUUCCGCGUGUAGCAGUGAAAUGCGUAGAUAUGCGGAGGAACACCGAUGGCGAAGGCAAUCCCCUGGGCCUGUACUGACGCUCAUGCACGAAAGCGUGGGGAGCAAACAGG
rnacentral:rRNA from 1 species